CUUGGUGGUUGGCUACUGAGGUACAAGCAAGAGACCUCAGAUUAGGAUGGUGGUAGCAGAUAUUGUGUAGAAAGGACAGAUGUUAGAGCCAUUUUUAGGGAACAUUGAAGAACUGGAAUAAUGGACAUGAAUGGAGAAGAUAGGCAUCCAUAUUGGACCAGCCCCUGUCCACAGUAUUGAAGAUAUCCUUAUGUGCAUAGACCUUGCUGGUUCAGUGGCAGUGGCUAGAUCAUGAGUGAGCAUCUCUUUUAGAGCAAGUCUACACAGAGGGAGUGGUUGGUAUGUCAAUAACUCUCCAGAUUGUGUUGCAAACACCAUCUUCAACUCAGCCAUUUUUCUCUUGGUUUUGAAAAAACCAGAGAAUAAGCAAGAGGAGGACAAAGAAAAUCACUUAGUGACACUGUCCAACAAUCCUGAGAGUGUUUCUGGGUUCCUGCCUCCUUCUCAAUCUUCCUAUAUUGUCUGAAGUGCUCCAUAACCUGAUGCCUAUAAAGGUGAACUGAAUAGAACAACAAAGUCUUGCUGAAAUUUUAAACAUGAACAGUGACUCUUCUGUAUUCAAUGCACAACAAUUCUAGAACAAUAUUUCUUGUACUAUUGUGCCUUAAAAGCAAACAGCAAAACAAAACAAAAACAAAAACAAUAAAAAAAC
ensembl:lincRNA